UACAGAGGAGCCAAGCGUUGUCCGGAUUGACUGGGCGUAAAGCGCACGUAGGCGGGUCGUUAAGUCGGGGGUGAAAUCCUGGAGCUCAACUCCAGAACUGCCUUCGAUACUGGCGAUCUUGAGUCUGGGAGAGGUGAGUGGAACUCCGAGUGUAGAGGUGAAAUUCGUAGAUAUUCGGAAGAACACCAGUGGCGAAGGCGGCUCACUGGCCCGGUACUGACGCUGAGGUGCGAAAGCGUGGGGAGCAAACAGGG
rnacentral:rRNA from 1 species